rnacentral:rRNA from 1 species
AGGAAAGUAGGGGAUCGAAAGACCUUAUGCUUUUGGAGCGGCCGAUGUCUGAUUAGCUAGUUGGUGGGGUAAUGGCCUACCAAGGCAACGAUCAGUAGUUGGUCUGAGAGGACGACCAGCCACACUGGGACUGAGACACGGCCCAGACUCCUACGGGAGGCAGCAGUGGGGAAUUUUGGACAAUGGGCGAAAGCCUGAUCCAGCAAUGCCGCGUGAGUGAAGAAGGCCUUCGGGUUGUAAAGCUCUUUCAGUUGAGAAGAAAAGAUCGUGGCUAAUAAUCACGAUUUAUGACGGUAUCAACAGAAGAAGCACCGGCUAACUACGUGCCAGCAGCCGCGGUAAUACGUAGGGUGCGAGCGUUAAUCGGAAUUACUGGGCGUAAAGGGUGCGCAGGCGGUUCUGUAAGUCAGAUGUGAAAUCCCCGGGCUUAACCUGGGAAUUGCGUUUGAAACUACAAAGCU